rnacentral:rRNA from 1 species
AUUGAACGCUGGCGGCAGUCCUAACACACGCACGUCGAACUAGUGGCGGACGGGUUCCUAAUGUCUGGGAAACUGCCCGACGGAGGGCGAUAACUCCUGGAAAUGGUAGCUAAUACUGCAUACCAUAGGAUGUACCCAGAUGGGAUUAGCUAGUAGGUGGGGUAACGGCUCACCUAGGCGACGAGCCCUAGCUGGUCUGAGAGGUUGACCAGCCACACUGGACCUGAGACAUGGUCCAGACUCCUACGGGAGGCAGCAGUGGGGAAUAUUGCACAAUGGGCGCAAGCCUGAUGCAGCCAUGCCGCGUGUAUGAAGAAGGCCGUCGGGUUGUAAAGUACUUUCAGCGAGGAGGCGGUACUCGCAGAAGAAGCACCGGCUAACUCCGUGCCAGCAGCCGCGGUAAUUC